rnacentral:rRNA from 1 species
GAAAGGGUUAGUGGCGCACGGGUGAGUAACACGUAGGUGACCUGCCCCGAAGUGGGGGAUAACUUCUCGAAAGAGAAGCUAAUACCGCAUAUGCUCAGCCAUUCAGUUGGUUGAGUAAAGCUCCGGCGCUUCGGGAGGGGCCUGCGUCCGAUUAGCUAGUUGGUGGGGUAAUGGCCUACCAAGGCGAUGAUCGGUAGCUGGUCUGAGAGGACGAUCAGCCACACUGGCACUGACACACGGGCCAGACUCCUACGGGAGGCAGCAGUGAGGAAUAUUGGUCAAUGGGCGAAAGCCUGAACCAGCAACGCCGCGUGAGGGAUGAAGGCCUUCGGGUCGUAAACCUCUUUUCUGGGAGAAGAGACAAGGACGGUAUCCCAGGAAUAAGUCUCGGCUAACUACGUGCCAGCAGCCGCGGUAAAACGUAGGAGGCAAGCGUUAUCCGGAUCUACUGGGCGUAAAGCGCACGCAGGCGGCUGCGUAAGUCGGACGUGAAAGCUCCUGGCUCAACUGGGGAGAGGUCGUUCGAAACUGCGCGGCUUGAGGUUGGAAGAGGAGAGCGGAAUUCCCGGUGUAGUGGUGGAAUGCGUAGAUAUCGGGAGG